rnacentral:lncRNA from 1 species
CUUCAGAAGCCAAUUGACUAGGGCAGGAUCAGAAGACAAUACACAGCAGAAGUGAAGCAGAGUUUGUAGAAGGAAUGGUGAAAAAGUAGAAACUUAGGGACCAAGAGAGCCACAUAAUUUACUUCUGCUUGGUUUUCUGAGCUGUCUUAAUACUAUGUUAAUAACCCAAAGGCCAUGUGGAGGCCCAGCUGGAGAGCAGAGAUGUCUCUCAGACAAGUGAUGCUCUGUAUCCCUGCCUUUGGGGUCUUAAGGAGAACAACUUGCUUUAGAGAAAAGGGGACUUUAGAACAACUGAUGACCUUCAUUUCUUCCUAGUGUCUUAUAUAAAUUUAUAAAUAGAUUUACAUUGGUAAACCAUCUCUAAAUGUAUUGUCUAGAAGGACACAUACUGAAUUUUCCACCCUUAUCCCUCUAUUCUCAUCAUUUCCUUACUUGAGGUGUAAUCAGAUCGUUUACAGAAGAAACAGAAGGCUGUGAUUGCUUGUGGAUGAAUUAGGGUGUAGGAGGAAGGAAACAAGUUAAUUUAGUUUCUAUUUGGGGGACUCCUGUCUCAACUACUUCAUGUUUCAUGAAUGUACCCAUUUCUCUAAUUCCUUAGUUACAUCUCUGCUGGCAUUUUAGAGAAUCUAAAAUGGAGAUCAAAAGAAAGCAGCAAGAUUACAAGCCCUACUGCACCCUUCCCAAGCACCCCAUUCCUUCAUAAAGUGGUAACUAUUGUAAAUUCUAUGUCCAAGCCGGCUUUUCCAAGGUCAGAGAAAACGGAAAUCUUAAGAUUGGCCCAAUCAAAGAGGAACAUUAUCACUUUGAACAAAGACCUUGAAAAGGACCUGCAGAGGAGAGAUGAAGCAAACCAGGAGCUGCUUCUCAAAACCCAAGAGAAAGAACGCGAGAUCCAGAGGAAAGAAAGAAUGAGACUCUGGUCCAUAGUAUAACAGAACUGCAGAGAAAGCUUGCAAAGAAAUCACACAAGAUAACCAAGUGUGAACAAUGUUAUCCAGAUAGAACCCCAGAAGAGUUGCAGGUAAAUGGAAAAAGCAUCCUGAGUGGGUUUGGAUUGUGUGACCAGGAAACAAGCUGUCAAAUCAGAAAUGAUGUCAAACUUGGAUUAAAUGCUUUGAAUUUUUC